UACGGGGGGGGCAAGCGUUGUUCGGAAUUACUGGGCGUAAAGGGCUCGUAGGCGGCCAACUAAGUCGGAUGUGAAAUCCCUCAGCUUAACUGGGGAACUGCGUCCGAUACUGGAUGGCUUGGAUUUGGGAGAGGGAUGCGGAAUUCCAGGUGUAGCGGUGAAAUGCGUAGAUAUCUGGAGGAACACCGGUGGCGAAGGCGGCAUCCUGGACCAAUAUUGACGCUGAGGAGCGAAAGCCAGGGGAGCAAACGGG
rnacentral:rRNA from 1 species